rnacentral:rRNA from 1 species
GACGAACGCUGGCGGCGUGCCUAAUACAUGCAAGUCGAACGCAGUGGGGACGGGUGAGUAACACGUGGGUAACCUCCCAUCAGAGGGGAUAACACUUGGAAACAGGUGCUAAACCGAUACUGAUGGAUGGACCCGCGGUGCAUUAGCUAGUUGGUGAGGUAACGGCGCACAAAGGCCACGAUGCAUAGCCGGCCUGAGAGGGGGAACGGCCACACUGGGACUGAGACACGGCCCAGACUCCUACGGGAGGCAGCAGUAGGGAAGCGUCGGCAAUGGACGAAAGUCUGACCGAGAAACGCCGCGUGAGUGAAGAAGGUUUGCGGAUCGUAAAACUCUGUUAUUAGGGAAGCGGUACCUAAUCAGAAAGCCACGGCUAACUACGUGCCAGCAGCCGCGGUAAUAC